rnacentral:rRNA from 1 species
CAGUCGCCGCGGUAAAACGUAGGUGGCAAGCGUUGUCCGGAAUUAUUGGGCGUAAAGGGCUCGCAGGCGGUUUCUUAAGUCUGAUGUGAAAGCCCCCGGCUCAACCGGGGAGGGUCAUUGGAAACUGGGAAACUUGAGUGCAGAAGAGGAGAGUGGAAUUCCACGUGUAGCGGUGAAAUGCGUAGAGAUGUGGAGGAACACCAGUGGCGAAGGCGACUCUCUGGUCUGUAACUGACGCUGAGGAGCGAAAGCGUGGGGAGCAAACAGGAUUAGAUACCCGUGUAGUCCCUGUCUCUUAACA